GAUGAACGCUGGCGGCGUGCCUAAUACAUGCAAGUCGAGCGAACAGACGAGGAGCUUGCUCCUCUGACGUUAGCGGCGGACGGGUGAGUAACACGUGGAUAACCUACCUAUAAGACUGGGAUAACUUCGGGAAACCGGAGCUAAUACCGGAUAAUAUAUUGAACCGCAUGGUUCAAUAGUGAAAGACGGUUUUGCUGUCACUUAUAGAUGGAUCCGCGCCGCAUUAGCUAGUUGGUAAGGUAACGGCUUACCAAGGAAACGAUGCGUAGCCGACCUGAGAGGGGGAUCGGCCACACUGGAACUGAGACACGGUCCAGACUCCUACGGGGGGCAGCAGUAGGGAAUCUUCCGCAAUGGGCGAAAGCCUGACGGAGCAACGCCGCGUGAGUGAUGAAGGUCUUCGGAUCGUAAAACUCUGUUAUUAGGGAAGAACAAAUGUGUAAGUAACUAUGCACGUCUUGACGGUACCUAAUCAGAAAGCCACGGCUAACUACGUG
rnacentral:rRNA from 1 species